rnacentral:rRNA from 1 species
UGCGCAGGUGGGUUUGUAAGUCAGUGGUGAAAUACUGCUGCUUAACGGUAGAACUGCCAUUGAUACUGCGAAUCUUGAGUAUGGUUGAGGUAGGCGGAAUGUGUAGUGUAGCGGUGAAAUGCAUAGAUAUUACACAGAACUCCGAUUGCGAAGGCAGCUUACUAAGCCAUAACUGACGCUGAGGCACGAAAGCGUGGGGAGCGAACAGGAUUAGAUACCCUGGUAGUCC